CCGUCUUCCGGAAGGCACUCUUCAACUUGCAAAAAUCAGUAAAAUUCUGAUGGCUCUCGAGCAAGGCCGAUUGGCAGAAUUCAAAGGGAAAAACUUGGACCAGAUCCACAUUGAUCCAGAAGAACAAAUACAGGUACAGAGUGAUAUGUCAGCUGAUGAGGAAGAAUGCGAGUCCCCCGAAACGGAAGUAACAGCAUCUCAGGACCAGACUACAGGGUGUCUUCUGCAAACAGCGGAACAGUCUCAACGCCAAGCAGAAAAGGGGAGAGAAGUGAGGCCCCCUUCUAAAGGUAAAGAAGUGCAGAAGAAAAGGAAGAGCUGGGUCAGAUCGGAAGUCCACGCUGUGGAAAAACACUUGAUGCACUUCAUCCAAACAUAUCGGGUCCCAGGAAAGGAUGCAUGCGAGGCUUGCAUCAAGGCUGAGCCACUAUCUCUUAAGGAUAGAAAUUGGCUAGCUGUUAAAUUCUACAUUAAAAACCGCAUAACAGCAUUACAGAGAAAAGAUUAAAUCCUAAGACACCAAAGUCGGUGCAUUUAUUUUGAACAUUGAAUGUUUGAGAA